rnacentral:rRNA from 1 species
AUUGAACGCUGGCGGCAUGCCUUACACAUGCAAGUCGAACGGUAACAGGUCUUCGGAUGCUGACGAGUGGCGAACGGGUGAGUAAUACAUCGGAACGUGCCUAGUAGUGGGGGAUAACUACUCGAAAGAGUGGCUAAUACCGCAUGAGAUCUACGGAAGAAAGCAGGGGAUCGCAAGACCUUGUGCUACUAGAGCGGCCGAUGGCAGAUUAGGUAGUUGGUGGGAUAAAAGCUUACCAAGCCGACGAUCUGUAGCUGGUCUGAGAGGACGAUCAGCCACACGGGGACUGAGACACGGCCCAGACUCCUACGGGAGGCAGCAGUGGGGAAUUUUGGACAUUGGGCGAAAGCCUGAUCCAGCAAUGCCGCGUGCAGGAUGAAGGCCUUCGGGUUGUAAACUGCUUUUGUACGGAACGAAAAGCCCCGGGUUAAUACCCUGGGGUCAUGACGGUACCGUAAGAAUAAGCACCGGCUAACUACGUGCCAGCCGCCACCGUAA